AGCAGCUCCCAUUGAUUUUUCUGAGAGUCCCUAAUCAAGCAUCCAAGAAAGAAAUUUGACCCCAAAUAGGGAUUUCUAGGGCAAGGGGGAUUUGUCUGGGCAGUUUGCUUCUGAAGGAAGAAAGCCGUAUUCUUUCCUCUCUUGAAAGGCAGUUGAUGAAAGAAACAUAAGGAACGGCUCUGCAAAAAGAAAACAAAAAGGUUCCAAACUGCAGGUAGAAACAAUAUGUCUUUUGAUAAAGCUAAUGUUGCUUUGUGUCAAAAGCAGAGUUCAGAUCGCCGGGAGUUACAGUCUUUGUGCAACGAUUUCCUACCUCACUCCAUCAAAGGCUUGCAAGCACUGUGCUGAAUACACCACCGCUCAAAAAGAAAACCGGGAUAAAGAGUAACCCUGAAGGAAGAAAAAAAUCCAUGGAGAAUAUAUUUGUUUUAACAAGAUCACAGGUUUGCUGCAUAAUGAGACUGCUCUGAGGCUUACCUGGCAAGAAAUGCCUUGUUUGGUACGUCUUCUUUUCUUCCCUAGAUUCCCCUAUCAAUUCUUCAGCUAGACAGAACUUAAUCACCCAUUUUCUUACUGGUGGGCAAUGUGUUUUAGCAGAGACCUUCCUCCACCCUAGAGACAAUGGUAAUCUGCACUGUCUUAUCAGUGUUGUGACUUUGUGGCUGAAAUGCCAGUUUCAAUGGCUUGAGUGAAUAAUUUGGGCAAAAUUUGGUUGGUUGUUUUUUGGUUUCUUUGUUUGUUUGCUUGUUGUUAUUAUUUCAGUCUUUUCAUCCUUCCUUCAAUUGACCAUCUUGAAAGAAGAGAAAUCCCUUCUUAGACCCUACUGAGGAGCAGAGAAUGACUUGGGGAGUGCACAACAAUUCUUUCUAGUCUAAUUGUAGAUGUAUUAUACUCCAGCCUGAAAAGUAAUUGCAAGUCCUUGAGGCUCAUAAGGGAUUUGAAUCCUUUGCUGACUAAGGAUGCAAUUUAAAUAAAUGCACAUCUUUAAGCAGGUCAUAAAGCAUCAUUAAGCCAGAGGAGACAAGGAAGCCUCACUUCUGAUUUUGAAUGGAAGGACUCCUGACUACCUUUGAGCACUCGUCUGAUAUCCAGUAAGCAACUAUCAAACUUGCCAAAUGCAACAAGCUUUGCUGAACCCCUCCCAUAGUCACUGCUGUUUGCAGUGAAUUCAGCAGAGUCAAGGGGAAAGAACAUGGUGGAUUCCUGGCUCAAAGAUUUUUAAAUUACCUCAAUGCCAGCAUACCCAGUGCAGUGUAAGGACAUACUGCUAUAAUACUGACACCACCUCUGUGGCUCUGAGAUGUCCACGAGCCAUGGAGCCAUCACAAGUGAGCUUUCCAUGUUCUGAUGAUAAACCAGUGAUGGUGUUUUCAGAUGUAAUUUCUGGACAUGUUUAAUGCAUUUACAUAUUUACCUAUUCUUAUUUCAAGCUGUCUGAGCUAGCCCAAAGACCUCGGGUAACUUCAUGACAAAAGAAACAGUGCUUGCAUGUUAGGGAAGGUAGAGCUGCAACUGUGCCUUCAGCUUUCCUUGUGCUCAGUCUAAAUUGAUUCAGUGGUGUUUCUGUAACCAAUAUCUGAAGAGGACUGUGGAUAGGUAUUGGCUUUGUGAUAAGCAUCUAGAUCAUUAAGCUGUCUCUUUCCCAGGGAUUUAUGCAUACCAAAGAUGCUCUUGGCUAGCAGUAUCUUGACCCUAAGUUCUUCCAGAAACAAAAGUUCCAUGAUGCUUUCUGUGUGUUUCUGCAUCUUAUGAUUUGUGAGCCAGUCAGUCAGUCUCAGUCAAAGAUAUUGUAAAGGCAAGCAGGUCAGAGAACAUGUUCACAGACAUGUUCACACUUACCUGCCCAUGCAUGCUACAGCCUGACCUGUGAUCCUCCUACAGUAAUUGACCUGAGCAGGAGCACACCUUUCUUCCCUCUGUUCAUAUUUCAUUUUGGAGCUCAGGUGCAGCCCAGCGUAUGGCGUGCUUGGAUCAUAGAUCAUGAAAUGCCUCUGUGUUUCAUAAUCUGGAUGGGGAAAAAAAAACUUAAAAUCCUUUGAGUUUUAUGUAAAUAGGGCCAUAAGACAGCAGAUAUUUGUGGAGCAUUUCACACUUCAGGGAAGGCUGUGGCACGAGUCCAGCCUGUGCUAGACUUCAACAAAUCUGUGUAAGCAAGUCUUGGGCAGGCACAGGUCCUCUUCACAUGCAGUGCACACAAGAAUCCCAGAUGCAGGGAAAGCUUCACUUGUAGCUUGCGCUAUGAAAGCCACCUGGCAGACCAAGACACAAAUAUGUUGGAAGCUCAUCCUCAUUAGUUGUUCUAUUUACAGUUACUUGUCUGAAGAAAUGAAAGCACAACACUGUCUCCUUUCUUCUAGCUUUACCUUAACACUGUGCUAGCCCUAAGCCUCUGCAUACACAAUAUCUUUUUAGAAACUAUAACUGUUUUAGCAGCUGAAAGUCAAAAGCUCUUGAAGCUUAACUUCAAGCACUAUUUCUGGGGGAAAAGGGAAUGAGAACUAGAUGUUGGAAUUAAAUUAAUGACUUACUAUAUAAGAAAAACACUUCUGUUGACUUUAGAAAUUUUUUUCUUCCCUCAAGGCCUAUAAAAUAUCAUUUGGUGUAUGAAGACCUCUCUUGCUUUGUAAAUAAGACAGUG